rnacentral:lncRNA from 1 species
AGAUGGCCUCAAACCCUAAAUAAGAAGUGCUGCUUAACCACAGAGAUUUAUGAGGAUAUUUUCUUGCCUACUUGUGGUUUCCACGGUGCAAGCCUUAAUACACGGAGCAAUGUGGGGAGAGAACUGGGAAGGUCACAGAUCUCAGGGCAGGAAAGUACCAUGAGAUGUAGCACAAAUGCCUGCUGUGAACAGAGAGUUACAUUUAGUUUGAGCGUCCACAUAUUGAAUUAAAGAACUUGUGUUAAACUAAAACCCUUCAUCUAGCAAGGCAUAAAAUCUUCCACUGAAGCCUUUAAGAAGUGGAAAAAAUAUUUCUAUCAGAAGCAUUUGAUAAUCAUCCUUUCUUUUUUCUUACUGAAAAAUGCUUUCACAUAAAAAUUGCUUUUCCUAUUAUUGCUACAUAAAAUUGAUACUUAUUUGUCCAUUGAUAAUUUGAAUAUUAUCACUGACUCCUCUAUCUGAAUUAAUGCUUUCUUAAUACUAGGUAUUUUGAGACCUUACAGAGACAUUCUCUACAGAUUUUGACAAGCAAAUGACAUUUUCUCCUGGAGCUUUUGGCAAUUUUGCUGUCUUCUAAUUAUAUGGAACAUUAGGUUUAAUUCUGUAAGAAAUGUAGUUGUUAACUAGAUACGGUUUUGCAGGAUCACCUCCCCAGUGCUUCAUAUAAAUAUUUGUGUCACAGUGAUGUUAUUUUCUUGUCCAUAUAUCCAUAUAUAUAUGUGUGUGUGGAGAUUGCUGCUGUUACAGCAUUGUUCUGGUCACUUCAGCAGUAUUGCUUGUACUCUUUUAAUUCCCAAGUGCUACACACAACCACUUCUUUCCAAAAUUUCUUUGCCCACUGUGUGGGUCCAGCCAGCACUCCUUCUCAGGUGCUCAACAAAGAAACCCUGCCUUGGUCCUACACAGAGUGAAUCACAAAUCUGGCAGUUCAUUUCAGGGCUGCUCUCAUUGUUAAUCAGCUACUCUGCAACCCGACAGCUCCAUUGCAUUUCCUUCUGCAUCGGAUAUGACUUUACGACAAACCUGGUGUCCAGCAGCUAGCAGUCUGCGUUAGAGCUGUACCUUGAACAAGGUCAUCUCAAAUUGCCCUCCUGUACAAACACGUGCUUAGAAAAGCUCCUGCCUUUGGAUCUUUACAGCUCCAGUAAGGAAAGGGGGCUGCCAAGCUUAUCAACAGAGCAGGUGAUGGGUUCCCAGGUCCUUCGCUCACUGUGGAGUUCUGUGCAGCCUAGGAAUUGCACUUAAACCCAGACAAAACCUCUGGGGGAAAGAAGGGGUUGCUUUUCCAUCUGUUAUUUAAUGAACGGCUGACCAGGGGAUGAGCAGCAGGAGGAGGAAGAUUUCUCAGAUGUUUUUCCACUUGCUAAGAGACUGCCUGAGGGUUGCUUGUCAGAAUUUCUUCCACUGCAGCUUUGUUUGCUACCAUGAGGAAACAAACAGCACAGCACCCAAGUGCACACUGCUUACCUACACAAAGCACUGAGAGUAACAGCUAAAAUAAGAGGUACACUAGGACAUCACAACUGCUCAGAGAGUCAGAUCUUGGGCUACUGCAGUGAUUUUGUUUCACACGCUCAGCCCAAGGUGCUCUGAAAGCCCUUACUGCCACUUCAGAAAGAAGGGACUUGCUCCUCGGUUGCCUGAAGGACUUGCUACCCUGUAGGUUAAAAAAAAAAAAAAGGACUUAACAUUUUGGGUGUUCCUACAUGGAGCUGGUGCAGGUCAGCUCCUCAAAGCUGUUGGCGACUGGCUCAAGGCUUGCCCAGAGCGAGACCAGCUCAUGGACAUGCUAGGGCUUUCACAAGCUUCAAAGGUGUGUUUGCUUUAGCAAACUACCCCAAAGGGCUAAUUAAGCGACAGCAGCUGCUCUUCUCAGCUCUGUUUGCAGGCUGUACAGGGGGAAGGUCCUUGGGAGGGGCCCUGAGGAGCUCCCAAAGCCCUUGCCUCCAAGAUGCUGCCCUAUUUCCCCUACCUUUCCCCUAUUUCACACCUCAUGCCCCCAGCCCUGUCCCCUGGGCUCCACGGUUGUCACUGGGGAUCUGGCCAGGGGAAAUUGCUGUGAAAUCAGUUGUGGGUGGAAGGAUAUGUGUGUUGUAAAUGACUUCAUGGAUUCAUGGGGGGGUUGAUCUUUCCAAUUAUGAAAUAAAGCUUGCUAAAUUCUGGGGUUUGAAACA